rnacentral:rRNA from 1 species
UACGGGGGGUGCGAGCGUUGUCCGGAAUCACUGGGCGUAAAGGGCGCGUAGGUGGUUUGAUAAGGGUGUGGUGAAAGUCCGGGGCUCAACCCCGGAUCUGCCGUGCCGACUGUCAAACUCGAGGACUGUAGAGGCAGACGGAAUUCCGGGUGUAGCGGUGGAAUGCGUAGAGAUCCGGAGGAAGACCGGUGGCGAAGGCGGUCUGCUGGGCAGUUUCUGACACUGGAGGCGCGACAGCGUGGGGAGCAACAGG